rfam:Salmo salar isolate Sally breed double haploid chromosome ssa16, whole genome shotgun sequence.
UGCAUUCACUAUUGUAAGUCGCUCUGGAUAAGAGCGUCUGCUAAAUGACUUAAA